rnacentral:rRNA from 1 species
CAGUCGCCGCGGUAAUACGAAGGGGGCUAGCGUUGCUCGGAAUGACUGGGCGUAAAGGGCGCGUAGGCGGAUUGCGCAGUCAGAUGUGAAAUUCCUGGGCUUAACCUGGGGGCUGCAUUUGAGACGCGUAGUCUAGAGUGUGAAAGAGGGUCGUGGAAUUCCCAGUGUAGAGGUGAAAUUCGUAGAUAUUGGGAAGAACACCGGUGGCGAAGGCGGCGACCUGGUUCAUAACUGACGCUGAGGCGCGAAAGCGUGGGGAGCAAACAGGAUUAGAUACCCCCGUAGUCCCUGUCUCUUAACA